UAUCCGGAUUCUUAGAGCGGUUUCAGAGCUCCACGGUUCUCUACGCGGUUAGCACAUGCGCGCCGGCUCUGCUCCCUGUUCUUCCACUUCCACCAGCUUCCACCGUCCGGGCAGCCGCCGCCACCGCCGGCGAGAAGUCAGGAAGUUCAAGAUGGCCGCCGCGGAGGCUCAGUCGCUGCGGGAACAGCCAGAGAUGGAAGAUGCUGAUAAUUCUGAAAAGAGUGUAAAUGAAGAAAAUGGGGAAGUAUCAGAAGACCAAUCUCAAAAUAAGCACAGUCGUCACAAAAAAAAGAAGCAUAAACACAGAAGUAAACAUAAGAAACAUAAACAUUCCUCAGAAGAAGACAAGGAUAAAAAACAUAAGCAUAAGCAUAAACAUAAGAAACACAAAAGAAAAGAGGUUAUUGAUGCUUCUGACAAAGAAGGUUUGUCUCCAGCAAAAAGAACUAAACUUGAUGAUUUAGCUUUACUGGAAGACUUGGAGAAACAGAGAGCCUUGAUUAAAGCUGAACUUGAUAAUGAGUUAAUGGAAGGAAAGGUCCAAUCUGGGAUGGGGCUCAUAUUACAAGGUUAUGAGUCUGGCUCUGAAGAAGAGGGGGAGAUUCAUGAAAAGGCAAGAAAUGGAAAUAGGUCUAGUACUAGAUCUUCAAGUACAAAGGGGAAACUUGAACUUAUGGACAAUAAAAAUAGUACAAAAAAGCGAAGUAAAAGCAGAUCUAAAGAACGGACUAGACAUAGGUCUGAUAAAAAGAAGAGUAAGGGUGGUGUUGAAAUAGUUAAAGAGAAGACAACUAGGAGCAAGUCAAAGGAGAGGAAAAAGUCCAAAAGUCCAUCCAAAAGAAGUAAGUCUCAAGAUCAAGCAAGAAAAUCAAAAUCUCCUACCCUUAGAAGGCGAUCUCAAGAGAAAAUUGGGAAGGCCAGAUCUCCUACUGAUGACAAGGUUAAAAUUGAAGAUAAAAGUAAAUCAAAAGAUAGAAAAAAAUCCCCAAUUAUAAAUGAAAGUAGAAGUCGUGAUCGAGGCAAAAAAUCCAGAUCCCCAAUUGACUUAAGAGGUAAAUCCAAAGACAGAAGGUCACGGUCCAAAGAGAAAAAAUCAAAACGGUCUGAAACUGAUAAAGAAAAGAAACCAAUUAAAUCUCCCUCUAAAGAUGCUUCUUCUGGGAAAGAAAAUAGGUCACCCAGUAGAAGACCUGGUCGUAGUCCUAAAAGAAGAAGUCCAUCUCCAAGACAGCGUGAUAAAUCAAGAAGAAGUAGAUCUCCGCUUUUAAACGAUAGAAGGUCCAAGCAGAGCAAAUCCCCGUCCCGAACUCUGUCUCCUGGUAGAAGAGCCAAGAGUCGAUCCUUGGAAAGAAAACGAAGAGAACCAGAAAGGAGACGACUUUCUUCUCCAAGAACACGACCUCGAGAUGAUAUCCUCAGUAGACGUGAAAGAUCAAAAGAUGCCAGCCCGAUCAAUAGGUGGUCUCCAACCCGAAGAAGAACAAGUAGAUCUCCCAUUAGAAGGAGGUCACGUUCCCCAAUCAGACGCAGCAGGUCUCCCAGAAGAAGAAGCAGGUCUCCUCGGAGAAGGGACAGAGGUCGGAGGAGCAGAUCACGCUUGAGAAGGCGGUCUCGAUCACGGGGUGGUCGUAGACGUAGGAGCAGAAGCAAAGUAAAGGAAGAUAAAUUUAAAGGAAGUCUUUCUGAAGGAAUGAAAAUUGAGCAAGAAUCUUCAUCUGAUGAUAACCUUGAAGACUUUGAUGUAGAGGAAGAAGAUGAAGAAGCCCUAAUAGAACAGAGAAGAAUACAAAGGCAGGCAAUUGUUCAGAAAUAUAAAUAUCUUGCUGAAGAUAGCAAUAUGUCUGUACCGUCUGAACCAAGCAGCCCCCAGAGCAGUACUCGUACACGGUCACCUUCUCCAGACGACAUUCUGGAAAGGGUAGCUGCUGAUGUUAAAGAGUAUGAACGGGAAAAUGUUGAUACAUUUGAGGCCUCAGUAAAAGCCAAGCAUAAUCUAAUGACAGUUGAACAGAAUAAUGGUUCAUCUCAGAAGAAGCUCUUGGCACCUGAUAUGUUUACAGAAUCUGAUGAUAUGUUUGCUGCAUAUUUUGAUAGUGCUCGACUUCGGGCUGCUGGCAUUGGAAAAGAUUUCAAAGAGAAUCCCAACCUCAGGGAUAACUGGACUGAUGCAGAAGGCUAUUAUCGUGUGAACAUAGGUGAAGUCCUAGAUAAGCGGUACAAUGUAUAUGGCUACACUGGUCAGGGUGUAUUCAGUAAUGUUGUACGAGCCAGAGAUAAUGCAAGAGCCAACCAAGAAGUGGCUGUAAAGAUCAUCAGAAACAAUGAGCUCAUGCAAAAAACUGGUUUAAAAGAACUAGAAUUCUUGAAAAAACUUAAUGAUGCUGAUCCUGAUGACAAAUUUCAUUGUUUGCGACUCUUCAGACAUUUUUAUCAUAAACAGCAUCUCUGUCUUGUAUUUGAGCCUCUAAGUAUGAAUUUACGAGAGGUGUUAAAAAAAUAUGGUAAAGAUGUUGGUCUUCAUAUUAAAGCUGUAAGAUCCUAUAGUCAGCAGUUGUUCUUGGCAUUGAAACUCCUUAAGAGAUGCAAUAUCCUACAUGCAGAUAUCAAGCCAGACAAUAUCCUGGUAAAUGAAUCAAAAACUAUUUUAAAGCUCUGCGAUUUUGGGUCGGCUUCACAUGUGGCAGAUAAUGACAUAACGCCUUAUCUUGUCAGUAGAUUUUAUCGUGCUCCUGAAAUCAUUAUAGGUAAAAGCUAUGACUAUGGUAUAGAUAUGUGGUCUGUAGGUUGUACCUUAUAUGAACUCUAUACUGGAAAAAUUUUAUUUCCUGGCAAAACCAAUAACCAUAUGUUGAAGCUCGCCAUGGAUCUCAAAGGAAAGAUGCCAAAUAAGAUGAUUCGGAAAGGUGUAUUCAAAGACCAACAUUUUGAUCAAAACCUCAACUUCAUGUACAUAGAAGUUGAUAAAGUAACAGAGAGGGAGAAAGUUACUGUCAUGAGCACCAUUAAUCCAACUAAGGACCUGUUGGCUGACUUGAUUGGGUGCCAGCGACUUCCUGAAGACCAACGUAAAAAAGUACACCAGCUAAAGGACUUGUUGGACCAGAUCCUGAUGUUGGACCCAGCUAAACGAAUUAGCAUCAACCAGGCCCUACAGCAUGCCUUCAUCCAGGAAAAAAUUUAAACGAGAUGAAGAAGCUCCAAGGGUUUGAGUAAUUAAAUACAAAGACUGAAGAAAUUUCACAGCAGUUUAUUAAUGUAUAUAAACUUAUAAGUAUUUCUCCAGCAAAUUUGAGGAAGCAUGAUAUAUUUGAAUUAGCACCAAGGGUGAUAUUUCUUUUAGAAAUGUUAGUUAAUCUGUUGUGUCUUAUGUGAAAUUUCAUUGUAGAACUGUUUUAAUUGCCAAGACUGCACAAAAUUACAGUGCUAAUGUAUAUUGUUGCAGUUCACAUAAAAGACAAAAGCAUCUGUUAUAAAACAAGUAGUAAUACUGGGUGGUUGAUUUAUUUUUAGCAGACUUGGCUUCAUUUUGGUCUUCAAAUAAAAUGGCCAGCAUAAAUGCUGUUUAUAUUCACGUUUUCCUAGGUGUGUGUGUGCAGGCCACAGCAGCAUGCCCUUGGUGUAGUCAGUGCCGAAAGGGGUCUGUUCCUUCUUGAGCCUGCCUGCAGGGAUGGUCUCCUCUUUUAAAGCAGGUUGUGUACAACAUUCAGUACACUGAAGGUAAGCUAAACCAUCAACAUCACUGGUGUUUUAAGAUAUUAUUUUAUUGGAACAAUUGACAAAUGAGGGAUAUUAGCUUUGUGGCAGAAUUCCCUGCAUGUGUGGUAACUGAUCUUGUUUUAUUUUUUGGCAUUGCAACUGUGGCAUAGUUACAGUUUCUGUUCUGUUCAUCACAUUUAAAAUUUGAAGAGUAUGCGCUUGAUGGAUAGAGCGCCUUCAGUGUACUGUUUCUUAUUAACUUUAAUUUUUUUAAAUCAACUUGCUAUAGACUUUAUAUACAUUUUGUUAAAUACAGUUCCUAGUGACAUAGAAACAAUGCGUAGUUUUCAUUUACUAAUUACAAAUGUUGAGGCCUAAUUCUGAAAGUCCUCAUAUUUAAAAAUUAGAUGACAUAAUGAAAUUUUUAACUAUUUGUAUGUCAUUUUUGAAAGUGUACUGCUUUAUGGUAAAAGUGUUUUUCAUUUGUUCCUUGUUUUCAUUAUUUGUGAUCAUGUUGUCUUUCAAUACAGGCAUAAACCUUCCACUCUUGAACAAAGCAGCUGCUUUUUAAAAGCGGUAAUUGCUCCUUUACCUUUUAUUUCUUUUGUAAAUGAAACUUUUCUUUAAGAAUGUGACUUUAAAGUGUUGUCUAUUGCAUAAAACAGUUGACACUCACUUAUUGUAAAGUGAAGAUUGUUCUACUGCAUGUGAAGUGGACCAUGCAGAUUUCUGUAUGUUCUCAGUAUGCAUCACUAGAUAAUAAAGUCUUUUGUGAACAAGGCAUUUGUAGCCAUUUUUAAAAGUUUUUUGUCUUCAGUGCUGGUAAGUCAGGUAAACCAUAGUUAAAAGCAAUCUUUGUUUCUCCCUUUAAGUCUUUAGCUAAAAGAAUUGUUAAAGAUGUAAACCUAGCCAGAAGUUUAUCAUUUUAUUAAUAAUUAGGAUCCUAAUUAUUUCAUCAAAAAAAAUCCUACGAAUAGUGUCAGCUUUCAGUAUAGUGAGAUAAUUCCUGUAGGUUAUGGGGUGUAAUUCAGGAUUUAACUAAUGUUUCUGCUAUUUUCUCACUUUUCCUUUUGAUGGUGCGGAAAGAGAAAAAAGGAAAACGGGGCUCAGGCCAUUCACCGCCUUCUCCAAGGGGUCUGAUUUGCUGAGACACCAGCUUCACCUUCUUAACAAGGUUAUUUCUGACAGCAUGUGUAGAUAAACAUUUAGCAACAAUUUAAAACAAAAUCAUGUAAAUCAGCUUGGUUUCCAACACAAAGGUAUUUGCAUUUUUAACAUGGUAGAAGAGAAUUUUCAGAAAUGUAUGUAAUCUUUUCUGUUUGGGUGUUAAAAUUAAUGCUUGUCUCCCUGAGGAAUGUGAAAAAUAAUCAGAUUUUACGGGUUUAAAUAAUAUUUUAAAAUUGUAAAUGGGAUUUUCUUAUUCACCCAGGCACCUAAUUACAACAAGCAUGCACAUUUUGGUGCAUUCAAGAAUGGAAAAUCAGAAUAGCAGCAUUCUUCUGGUGGGUUUUGCUCCAUUUAAAGACAUGAAAUGAACUGCAGCCAGGAAGGUGAUAGAUGCUAUAAUAAGCCAACUUUGAAUCUACACCCCGUCUCUUCACGGUUUAGACUUAAAAAGUAAAUACAAGGUGGUUUUCAUCUUCAGGUAGAGUGAAGCCUUGUAAAUAAGGCGUCACAGGUGCAGCUUUUCUACCUUAAUGCAAUGGGUAGUGAUUGUCCCACCAUGAUUUACUUCAUUUUGGUGAUAAUAUGCUGCAUAUUCAAGUCUCUUGUAGUUAUUUUCACUCAAAAUAGUUAACAUUUUGAUGCUUCUUGUGAUUAUCAUGGCUUCAUUUUAUGUAAUUAUUUAAGUAAGUUAACUCCCACUAGAAACAGUUCAUCUUAUGCCUUCAAAACUAUUACAUAUUCUUUAACAAACAAAGUUGCUUGUUACUUGUUCUUUGUGUUUUAGGUGCAGUUCAGUGGAAGAUGAUGACAACCAGAAGACAUGAGCUAAGGGUAAGGGACUGUUCUUCUGAAGAAUCUUUCCAUUUAGUGAUCAAGAUAUGGAAGCUAAGCUCUGAAAAUAAUAUGUCUGAAUUAUUCAUAGUAUCAUUUGAAUUGUAACUUGAAUUUUAGCAGCAAUGUCCCCAGUCGACUUACUGGGAAAACUUAAUAAAAUAUGUCUCUUGUUA